rnacentral:lncRNA from 1 species
CCUUACAACGUUACAAACUAUAUAUACGCUUUAAACUUGCAAAUAUAUAUAUAUAUAUUGUUAUAACAUACAGUUCAUCAUUUGGUCUGUCGGUCUCACAUCAAAGACCGUAACCAGAUCGGUGUAUAACUAUCUAAUCAUAUCUUGGAAUGCAUAAGUAUGAUGUGCUAUCUCAUUCGCCAUCCUGUUUUAUUUGAUAUGCCUAUAAAGAUAUCAAAAUAUGAGACUAAAGCUCUAGUUUAUUGUCGAUAAAGCUGAAGUUCGGAGCAUGUUGAAUAAUCUUGGUCAGACUUCGUCGGUUCGUCCCAAUCUCUCUUGAAGGAUAGCUGAGGUUCGGACCAUCUCCUCCGGUUCGUCUUGCCUCAACUCGUCUAACCCGUCCAUGUCUUGAUCAAGAUCCUCAUCCGGUUCUUGUCUUCCCAUGGUCACUCCACCUUUUUGCUGAAAGUUAAAGCCCGUGAACUGCCGGACUCGAAGAUAUGUUGUUGUUGCAAUAUGUUUUGGUUGUAUAUUCUCAUUUUAAUGUACUAAUAUGCAUCCUAAAAAAAAAAAUUCUCUUGGAAUAGAACAUAUAUACCUAGCCAAAAAAAAAAUAUAACCUGGAAGUGUAGCGAUGGUGCAACAUGGAAAUUGAGC